UCUAAUAAUGUCAACACAGUAACCUGUUGAUUAUCCAUUCCUAAUCUAAUGUCAUCAGUUAUUUUGAUCAGAGCCGUAGUCGUACUAUGACCAGGACGAAAGCCAGAUUGUAAAGGAUUCAAUAGGACAUUUUUUGAAAGGUAUUGGUUUAAUUGAUUGUGAAUAAGGCGCUCAAGUACUUUAGACAGGAAAGGGAGAAUGGAUAUAGGACGAUAAUCAGUGUAAGAUGAAGGAUUUGUUUUUUUGGGGAGGGGGAUGACUUGUGCGUCUUUCCAGGAUUCAGGGAAUUCACAAAGGAUAAUGGAUUGGUUUAAAAUAUGUGUGACUACAGGAAUUAUGAUAUCUAGGAUUGGGAGGAUCAUCUUACGACUAAUGCAAUCCGAACCAAUAGCAUCAGAAUUUAUUGCUAAAAUGUUCUUCUUAACAUCACUAUCAGUAAAUUGACUAAAGAAAAAAGGAGAAUUUUCAGAAGUUGAUUUAGCAGAAAUUUCUUUUAAAGUAUUAGACUUCACAGCAGUGUCGAAAGUUUGAGAGGACGAAAAAUGAUUAUUUAAUUCAUUUAAAUUAAUAUUGUGAGUAUUUAUAUUUUUAGAUGAUUUUCCAACUCCUAAGGACUUGAGAAAUUUCCAGACUCUAGCUGACUCCUCUUCCUCAGCUAUAGAUUUAUGGAUAUGGCGUCGUUGACUAUCUCUACAUAGCAUGUUGCAGCGAUUGCGAACCUUCAGAUACUUGUCGCGAUUUGUGUCAGUCGGAUUACACCUAUACUUAGCCUUGGCAAUAUUCUUUCUUACUUGGAGCUUCUUUAUUUCUGGGGUGAGCCAAGGUGCAGGAAGGUGUUUUAGCCGGACAGGACGAAUUGGUGCAUGUAAAUCAUACAGUUGAGUUAAUAGGGAAUUAAAAACUGUAACUUGCUCAUUGACUGUAUCAACAUUUAAAAUAACACUCCAAUCAAUAUUGGCAGCAUCCUCCCGCAGACUAUUCAAAUCCAUUCCACCAAAAUUACGCUGCAGAAGAAUUCUCGAUUUUGCUUUGGGUGGUUUGAUUUUAUAGGAAAGAUAAAGAAGAUCAUGAUAUGAAAAAGCAAGGGCGGAGCACUGCCCAUGCUUUUCAACAUGAUCAACGGAAGAGACCAAAAUUAAGUCGAGAAGAGAAGGGAUAGAGUUAGGGAAGGAAUGAGUAGCAGAUAGGGGUAGGAUUUGUAAAUCUGCACUAUUCAGUACAGAUUUCAACAGACUAGAGCGAUGGUCAUUUUUUAAGAGACAUGUAUUAAAAUCUCCCAUAAGAAUGGUAUGGGCAUACAACGGUUUAAAUUGCUCUAGAACGAUUUCAAAUGAUGAAAAGUAAUCGACCGUGAGGUUAGGACUAUAGUAAACACCUAAUAACAUCUUAAUAUGACCAAAGAUAACCUCAAUAAAAAGGUGUUCAGCCCCUUCAACGGACAGAGGUGUCGAUUGACUUAUAAUUGAAAAUGGAAUGUGAGAACGGAGAUAGAUCGCCACUCCACCACCUGCCCGACCUACACGGUCGUUACGGAUCAAAUGAAAUCCAGGAAGAGAGUAGGAAGUAGAAGACAGUCUGAGAAUAAAGAAUUUAUAGUUUCACCGAGCGAAGGGAUACUAUGAAAGCUGUCAUUACUGCUCAAUCCAUCAGAAGAAAAAGAAAGAAAAGUUUCGUCCAAAUCGUCAUUGUUUCUAGACAUUUUUAAAUUAAAUAUUCAGCAAAUAAAAUAAGUAAAAAUAUAAAGAUAAAUAUAUAAAAUAUAUAUGUAAAAUAAUAAUAAUAUAUAUUAAUUCUAUAAUUACAAAAUAAAAAUAGGUAAAUGAAUAAUUAUACGUUAAUUAAUUUCAUAUGAACACUCACCCGCCAAUUGCCUAGGAAUAAUCACUUAAACACAAACAUAACAAAAUAGAAACAAUAAUAACAUUAAAAACUAACAUUAACAAAAAAAAAAAAAAAU